rnacentral:hammerhead_ribozyme from 1 species
AUCAAGCUGACGAGUCUUAAAUAGAACGAAACGCACGUACUGGAU